rnacentral:piRNA from 1 species
UAGGCAGGCCAUUUAAUAAACAAGUAAG